CACGUAGGGCGCAAGCGUUGUCCGGAAUUAUUGGGCGUAAAGAGCUCGUAGGCGGUCUGCCACGUCCGCUGUGAAAAACCUAGGGCUUAACCCUGGGCUUGCAGUAGAUACGGGCAGACUAGAGGUAGGUAGGGGAGAAUGGAAUUCCCGGUGUAGCGGUGAAAUGCGCAGAUAUCGGGAGGAACACCGGUGGCGAAGGCGGUUCUCUGGGUCCCUACCGAGCUGGGGUGCGAAAGCAUGGGGAGCGAACAGG
rnacentral:rRNA from 1 species